AUUGAACGCUGGCGGCAGGCCUAACACAUGCAAGUCGAGCGGAGCGGCGGACGGGUGAGUAAUGCCCAGGAAUCUGCCUGGUAGUGGGGGAUAACGUACGGAAACGGGCGCUAAUACCGCAUACUACCAGAUGAGCCUAGGACGGAUUCGCUCGUUGGAGGGGUAAAGGCAUACAAAGGCGACGAUCCGUAACUGGUCUGAGAGGAUGAUCAGUCACACUGGAACUGAGACACGGUCCAGACUCCGACGGGAGGCAGCAGUGGGGAAUAUUGGACAAGGGGCGAAAGCCUGAUCCAGCCAUGCCGCGUGUGUGAAGAAGGUCUUCGGAUUGUAAAGCACUUUAAGUUGGGAGGCGUUACCAACAGAAUAAGCAACGGCUAACUUCGUGCCAGCCGCCGCGGUAAUUC
rnacentral:rRNA from 1 species